rnacentral:lncRNA from 1 species
CACAGCCUGGUAUAAAGGGAUAUUGUAAACAAUUCAUGUUAUUGGAGAAAAAAUUGUGAAGCAGAGAGUAGGAAAGAAGAAUGUUGGAGAGGUGUGCAGGAACCAGAAGGCUUUGUGAGACUUUUUUCCCGGUAGGUGAUAAUGAAACACAAUUGUUUUGAAUUAGUAGAGUGUUUGUCGAAGGAGUUCAGCAAAGCCCCACUAUUACCCUGGAGUAUGUAACUCUCAGUAUAGUUUUCUUUCUAUUUUCAUAAGGUUAACUGUUUCUCCAUAUAAAACAAGCUUAAUAACUAGCAGGGUGAUCCUUUGCCUUUGCAUCCUCUGUUACAUAUAAAACUUUUGAUAUUAAAAAUGAUUUUUCUCCUCCAUCAUUUCCUUCUCCUCCUUCCCUUCCUCCCCCUCCUCCUUCUUUCACUUAUAAAAGUCUCCUCUUAAGAUAAAAAUUCUAGAAAUGAGAUUCAUUAAGCUAUUAUCAGAUAAUGGGAGCAUAAGUUUUCUGACCAUUAGAUGCCCAUUGAAAAGGGAAAUAUGCUUACAGUCCAAGGUCAAGUGACCAGAGGUGGCGAAGGGCCUGUAUGUCUGAGAAGAAAGGGCCAAAUAUACACUCUGCCUCUUCACUGGAGAGAGCCACUUUCAACCAACAUGGUUUUUUUCUGGUAAAGCAAGCCAAUGUUAAGAACUACAUAAUGCUUAACAAAAUAAUUGAAGGGUCUAUUAUUCAAAAGGGG